rnacentral:tRNA from 1 species
GGGGAUUUAGCUCAGUGGUAGAGCGCUCGCCUAGUAAGCGCAAGGCCCUGGGUUCGGUUCUCAGCUCCG